CAUGUCUUUUUGUGAAUUAUAUAAGGUCUAACCUGCUCCAUGAUUAUUUAAAUAGCUGCAGUAUCUUGACUGUACAAAGGUAGCAUAAUCAUUAGUUUUUUAAUUGAAAGCUGGAAUGAAUGGUUGAAUAAGGAAAUAACUGUCUCUUUUUAAUUAAGUUGAAUUUUAUUUUUAAGUUAAAAAGCUUAAAUUUGUUAGAAAGACGAGAAGACCCUAUAGAGUUUAAUGGAUUUUAAAGUUGAAUAUUUAAGGAUUUAAUUAUAUUUAAUUUUAAGUUCAUUUUGUUGGGGUGACAUUAGAAUUUAUAUAACUUCUGUUUUUUAAGUCAUAGAUUAAUGAAUGAUUGAUCCUAGUUUAUGGAUUAUAAGAAUAAAUUACCUUAGGGAUAACAGCGUAAUUUUCUUGAAGAGUUCUAAUCGAUAAGAGAGAUUGCGACCUCGAUGUUGGAUUAAAGUAAAAAAUUGGUGUAGAAGCUAAUAAUUUGAGUCUGUUCGACUUUUAAAACU
rnacentral:rRNA from 1 species